UACGUAGGGGGCAAGCGUUAUCCGGAUUUACUGGGUGUAAAGGGAGCGUAGACGGCGAUGCAAGUCUGAAGUGAAAGGCGGGGGCCCAACCCCCGGACUGCUUUGGAAACUGUAUGGCUGGAGUGCAGGAGAGGUAAGUGGAAUUCCUAGUGUAGCGGUGAAAUGCGUAGAUAUUAGAAGGAACACCAGUGGCGAAGGCGGCUUACUGGACUGUAACUGACGUUGAGGCUCGAAAGCGUGGGGAGCAAACAGG
rnacentral:rRNA from 1 species